UUAUCCCGUGUUUUCCUGCUCCUCACAGUGGAUAUUUUUCCCAUACUGCCAUGACAUUGGGUUUGUGUUUUCUUUUCUUUUUUUACUUCACUCCUUUACCCCUCAUCUCUGCUCCUCUAAUUUUAUAAAUUACUGAAAUGAUAAUUUUUUUCCCUCCCCAGUGCUGGGGCUGAGCAUGAUGAAAUUUUCCUGUGGAGAUGUGGAUCCUGUGUUUUAAUUACUGCUCAGGCCAGUGAAGGUUCUUCUAAAGAAUAAGUGCUGAUUAAAGCGGGUUUUAUCACAGGAUGGAUCUUAUGCAAACAAAGAAAGAAAUCAAAAUAUCCUCUAUCAAAUGAAAUCAAGAUAUCCUGUAUCAGUCAGGUUGGACAAGCCCUGUGGGAUGACUGAGUCCAGCUGUUCCCCCACCCCUGCCCCAAAGGCCACAUCCACAAUCUCUGAACCCCUCCAGGGAUGGGGACUGCCCUGGGCAGCCUGGAGAGCCCUUGCAGGGAAGAAACACAGAUCAAUCCUUCUGUUCUCCUUCUGGUAAAACAAGGAAAACAAAGCUCCUUUAUCCAAUUUCCAAGCUGUAUUUCAUUCUCUUUUGUGAUGCCCAAAGUGCUGCUCAUCCAGGAGAAGUCUGGAGAGCAGCAAGAACUUUCCUGGCUCUCACCUGGAGCACGUCAGGCCUGCAGAAUCCCUGGAUACAGGAGGGAGACAGGAGAGAGGAGCAGGAGCUGGGAGGUCAAGAGGAGAUUUGGUCAGGGGCACUGAUGUGCUGGAUCACCAUCCCUGGGAGUAAAUUCUUUCCCAUUCUUUGCUGCUGCCAUUCGUGCUCCCCCUCUGCUCCUUUUGCAGCUGCUAUGAAAUUGCCUUGCAUUGGAAUUUGCCCAAAUUCCAGCUUUUUCCAGAGUUUUUCUGUUUUAUUUAGAGCUUUUCCAAGUGGCUCCUUGUAGAUGUGGAGUUCUUAAAUGCUGGUAAUGCUCUUUGUCCACCCUGGGAGAUGGUGAAUAUUCCUGGCACGGUGUGACUGCAAGGCAGGAAAAGCUUUGGGAGCAAAGCACAGUGGAUGUGUUCUGGAUCUUCUUUAGGGAGCACAGAAGGAGUUAAAUAAACCAGGGCUGGAAGGACA
rnacentral:lncRNA from 1 species